UAGCUUUAGGAUUUUUCUUUGGGGCAGGAUUUUAUUCAGUCUUCCCUUGAGGCUGCGAACCUGUUACAUACUCGCUGGUCUGUGUAAGGAUAUCAAGGACCCCAGUGUUCACUGUUUAACCCUGACCAGUGGUGUUGCCACGUCUGUGUAUGGAUUCCCUGGCGCUUGGAGAUGACGUCUACUGCCUUCACCUGACGCGUUUCGUCGAUAUAUGACUUCCUCAGAGGCUCAAAUCGUAAAGUAUUCGGUUCUCUCCUUUUACGGAUCCUGGUUGCCUAGAUCGCGCGUGCCUGCACUUACUUUCCAUAGUCGCGGGGCAACUAAACCCUAAUGUCCACUCUGCUUACCACAUUGCAAAUUAUUAAUACUUUCCCACUAGCACAAACAUAUUUUGAAUGUCCCCAGCAUUGGAUCCCACAGCAUCAAGUGGUUUAAAACGAUGGAAAGAGCAUGAACCAAAAUAUUUUAUAUACACUUCCGUCUCUUGCUUCAGUGUUUCUUUCAUGGUAUUAUCCAUUAAGAGAAUUCAUUUGCAAUUAGGAAUUCAGGAGACUUUUAAAUUUCUUUUACCUGGCUUUUCACUAAUUAUGAUUAUUUAUAUUCACUUUUUUAGCUGAUAGGGUUACUUUAUUAAUUAGCCUUUAAAAAUUACUCAAUCUAUUAUACUCAAUCCAUCAAUUCUCCACAUUAUUAGUUAAAAUUUGCAUAUUUGUAUGUUACAUAAAUAUAUAGGGAGGUUUUUUUUAUACAAUUUGUAUAUAUCAAGAAGGUAUAUUGUACAUAAGUUUAGAUAAAGACUUCUCCUAAAAAGGACCUUAGAUUGAAGUCUAUGUUGAGGCCCUUAGGUUCCAGUGUUCCCAGUUUAUAUAUCCUUCUGCUUUCGCAUCUUAGAGUAUCUUCUACAAUGUUUACCCCCCUCCACUUUCUGGUUAAUGCCUCCACACCCCGGUUAAUGCCUCCACACCCCAAUAUGUUAGACCCUUGGGAUUUCCAGAAACUGUUGUGGACACAACCUUAUUAAGUAUUUUGAUUGACAUAGUGCCUAGAUGACAUCGGUAACCAGCACCUCCCACCAAUGCACGCCCAGUCCUUCUCAGUGGCUGCUGCUCUCUGAAAAAAAGAAAGUGAAAAAAAGAGAUGGCCGACGGCUACCCUGGCUUGCUGUAACAGGACAGGAAAUCAGGGAGGAGCGUGAUAAGAAAUGCUAAGAUAACAAAUAAAGUGGACACAAAAGGAGACUGGAGGCUAAGCCGAGCAGAGGAGACUCACGUUCCUUGUUAAAGGGGAUGGAAAGUCUUUUUAACUAGGGGGUGCCAAAAUUUAGGCAUCCCAAGUGAUUUUAUUUACUUAACUGAUAACCUAGACUGCUGCUCCUGUCAACAGAAAACUGCAUCGGCCCAGGGUUCUUCCAGAGAUCACCACAGAGUCAUUCUCUUUUUCCACUUCUUCAGACAUAACUGCACAGUGAUGUGAAAUAGCUGUUUUUUUUUUCUGUUAAAGUAUGGCUUUUCACUCUGCUGUGUAUGUACAGCUACGGGAAUAAAGAAUAAGCAUGAACAGGAUCCCAAUGUGUAGCUCACUGGGUCUUUUUCUGGGCAGUUUUCUGUUGAUAGGAGCACCAGCCCUGGGUAUAUACAUUCACUUAGAGCUGCCUAACUUUUGGUACCUUCAAGUAAAAAACAUGCUUUCUCCUUUAAAGGUAAGUAAAGGUAACCUGGUAAUCAUAUUUAUGUAAUCGGUAUAGUAUUUGCCAUACUAUAAAAUUGUUUCUAUAAACUUGGUUAUCUUUAAUUUCAGAGGAUUGUUUUUUGAAUUGUUCAUUAAGCAUUUCUAAUAUAUUUUCCUUAGAUUGUGUCAUUAUUUUUAGAUCUAUAUUAAUAUGUUUGCCAUUUUCAGAGAUGUGCCUUGUUAAUGCUGACUAGUUAAAUCUCUGUAACCAGGUACCCCGAGACCAUCAUUUAUUUUUGGACAGUAACAUCAAAAAAAUGAAAAUGUAACAAAGUAAUAACAAUAUGAUGAACUGUGGCCCUACAUUGAAAGCACUGAUGUGCUUGUUUUAGAAACACUACUAAAGUUUAUACAAUCAACCUGCUGUGUAGCCAUGGGGGGCAGCCAUUCAAAGCUGGAAAAAAGUAAAAAGGCACAGGUUAACAUAGCAGAUAACAGAUAAAGUAUGUAGAAUACAAUGGGAUUCUAUAGAACUUUUCCGUUAUCUUCUAUGUCACCUUUACCUCUUCUCCUUUUUUCAGACUGAUUCGCUGUCCCCAUGUUUAUCUGUAUAAACUAUAGUAGCCUUUCUGAAGCAAACAUACCAGUUUUACCACUACAGGGCAACAGUACAGAAUUAAAAGUGUUGAGCAAAUUCACCAUAGGAUAGAUGCAUUUAAGAAAGAUCAACAUUUUUUAGAAGUUCCUUUUAAAUUUAAUGGUGCAUUUUUCUGCCCAGUCCCUCUUUUUAGGUGGAUUACUCCUCACAUUUCAUCAGCUGCGAUUUUAUGUGUCUUCGAAGAAGUGUAUAGCAGCUGAAAAAUAUUCCAUCACUAGCAGAUGCCAUAGCGGGCACUAUUGCUACUUCUAUUGUGAUAGCUAUGUCAAAGGUUCAGGAGGUUCCAGUGGAAAAACACAAGCGCACACUAUCUAAGCGUGACGAUAUACCCUCCCGCACUUCUCACUCUCUGGAUGUAUCUGAAAGCUAGGGAUCCAACAGGGAUGUAUUUUCGUCCCCUGCUUAAUCAGAAGAUGACGACAACGAUGAGGAAGAAAAUACCAGAGAGAAGGAUACCUCUCACGAUAUUGACGGCAUUAUCAUGGCCGUCAUUAAAGGAAAACUAUACCCCCAAAAUGAAUACUUAAACAACAGAUAGUUUAUAUC